AUACGUAGGAACCAAGCGUUAUCCGGAAUCAUUGGGUUUAAAGGGUCCGUAGGCGGACUAUUAAGUCAGAGGUGAAAUCCCACAGCUCAACUGUGGAACUGCCUUUGAUACUGGUAGUCUUGAGUUAUAUGGAAGUAGAUAGAAUGUGUAGUGUAGCGGUGAAAUGCAUAGAUAUUACACAGAAUACCGAUUGCGAAGGCAGUCUACUACGUAUAUACUGACGCUAAGGGACGAAAGCGUGGGGAGCGAACAGGAUUAGAAACCCCAGUAGUCC
rnacentral:rRNA from 1 species